GCGGGAAAAGCUCAAAUUUAAAAUCUGGCGGUCUUCGGCCGUCCGAGUUGUAAUCUGGAGAAGCGUUUUCCGCGCUGGACCGUGUACAAGUCUCUUGGAACAGAGCGUCAUAGAGGGUGAGAAUCCCGUCUUUGACACGGACUACCAGUGCUAUGUGAUGCGCUCUCGAUGAGUCGAGUUGUUUGGGAAUGCAGCUCAAAAUGGGUGGUAAAUUCCAUCUAAAGCUAAAUAUUGGCGAGAGACCGAUAGCGAACAAGUACCGUGAGGGAAAGAUGAAAAGCACUUUGGAAAGAGAGUUAAACAGUACGUGAAAUUGCUGAAAGGGAAACGAUUGAAGUCAGUCGCGUGUGCUAGAACUCAGCCUUGCUUUUGCUUGGUGCAUUUUCUAGUGUACGGGCCAGCAUCAGUUUUGGCCGCCGGAAAAAGGCCUUGGGAAUGUGGCACCUUCGGGUGUGUUAUAGCCCUUGGUUGUAUACGGUGGCUGGGACUGAGGAACAUAGCAUGCCUUUACGGCGGGGCUUCGGCCACCUUCAUGCUUUGGAUGCUGGCGUAAUGGCUUUAAACGACCCGUCUUA
rnacentral:rRNA from 1 species